rnacentral:lncRNA from 1 species
UUUACUGGGAACACAGAAGUCCUUGGGCUCAAGCCACUCUGGCCCUUUCCACUGCCAAGUGGAUAGAGCACAGAAAGGCUGCUGGAGCAAUGCUGGAAUUCCAAGUUGGUGGAGGAUAGAAUAACACAGUACAGACUGAUCAACGGUCUCUUCAAUGGAAAAGAGUGUGCACACCCGACUUCUAGUAUAGCAACAACUGCAACGCAGAUAUAAAGCGCCUAAGCCCAUGCUGAUUAUAUUUCUGAGCCUAGAUCAUUCUUUAUACAGAUGUGUUCUCUCCUGAUUGUCUAAUUAAUACUGAGAAGAGUGCUUGACUUUCAUUUUAAAUAAACUACAAGAGCA